rnacentral:tRNA from 1 species
CAUUAAAUGGCUGAAUAAAAGUGGCAAGCUUUUUACUUGUUUAUGGUUUAUAAAAAACCUUUAGUGA